UACCUACUAUCUAGCGAAACCACAGCCAAGGGAACGGGCUUGGCACAAUUAGCGGGGAAAGAAGACCCUGUUGAGCUGACUCUAAUCACAAACGCGAGGUGAUUCUAAAGGUGUAGCAUAGGCGGGAGAGCCCUCGGCUCGACCCUGAAAUACCGCCACUUUCGACAUUGCUUUGCUAAUGCUGUAACUAACGGUACGCCGCCUUCGGCUGAGCUGCACUUGUGCGGCUUCCAGCCUUAGGUAGGCUAUAUUCUUGCGCUUUAUCCCCGAGCCUAGGCUACGACCGACUGGCGUCUUUAGGUGAGUACCUUGGGGCCACGAGCUGGGCUUACGAGUCUGGCGAGUGCCUGUCCUCGGGGGAACUAAGGAAGGCUGGAAGGUCCUCUGGCCCAGGCGCUUGACCUGGGGAACGUAACGUGACGCGGUAGACAAUUUGUGUUGGGGAGUUUGGCUGGGGCGGAAAACUGCUACACGGCAACGGCAGUCUCCUAAGGUCUGCUCAGAGGCGACAGAAACGUCUCGUAGAACAUAAAGGUAAAAGCAGGCUUAAAACGAUGCUUUCAGUAGUAGCAUGUAUCGAGAAAUCGGGGCUUAACGAUCCUUUGCAGCGGGUGCCAGCCCAUGCUAGAGGUGAGAGAAAAGUUAAACUGGCUUGUGGCCGCCAAGCGUUCAUAGCGACGUGGCUUUUUGAUCCUUCGAUGUCGGCUCUUCC
rnacentral:rRNA from 1 species